CUGAAGAGCGCCUGCGAGGGCGGGCGGGCGGCACAGCACGGAGAGGAGCCCAGGGGCGGCGGAGCCAGCGGGGAACGAGCUCGGAACCGGCGCGGAACCGGCGCGGAACCGGCGCGGCAGCACCGCGGGCCGCCCUCAGCCGCGGCCCGGCCGGCAGCGCCCACACACCGCGGGCACCCGGCUGCCUUCCGAGCCGCAUCCCGCCCCUUGUGUGCCCCCUCCUUUGGCCGGGACUCUCCGCCGGGAUCUGCGCUGUUGUUGUUGGUUUUGGCCGGCGCGGCAGCAUCGAGGAUAUUUUGGCAGCGGCGCCUCGAUCGCUUGGACGCCGCGUGAGGGGCCGGGGCGGCAGCGCGGGAGCGCCGGGGGCCAGAUGGGUGACUUUGGGAUCAGGAACAUGGAUCAGGUGGCUCCUGUCUCCAACGUGUACAGAGGAAUGCUCAAGCGUCAGCCGGCGUUUGACACCUUUGACAGCUCAAACUCCCUUUUUGCUGGGUAUUUUUUCUCACUCAGUGAAGACCAAACGCUUCAGGAGGUGCCAACAGGAUUUGACUCCACUUCUUAUGAGUCGAACAACUGUGAAUUGCCUCUGUUAACCCCGUGCAGCAAGGCUGUGAUGAGUCAGGCCCUGAAAGAUACUUUCAGUGGUUUCACAAAGGAACAGUGUCGGCUGGGUAUCCCAAAUAAUCCCUGGCUGUGGACUGAACAGCAAGUUUGCCAGUGGCUUUCAUGGGCUACCAAUGAGUUCAGCUUGGCAAAUGUGAACUUCCAUCAGUUUCUUAUGAGUGGCCAAGACCUGUGCAACCUGGGCAAGGAACGUUUCCUGGAACUGGCACCUGACUAUGUGGGUGAUAUUCUGUGGGAACACCUGGAACAGAUGAUAAAAGACAGCCAAGAGAAGACACAGGAUCAAUAUGUGGAGAACUCUCACCUCACAUCAGUUCCUCACUGGGUCAAUAAUAAUUCCUUAACUGUUAACGUAGAUCAGAAUUCCUAUGGAAUGCAAAUGCCUGGAUACCCUAAACCCCUGAGCUAUCCCAAACCCAGUCUCCUGACUGACGUCUGUCAGACUUCCACGGCCCCCAAUCUCCUCAACCCAGAACAAGACUUCCCAUUGUUCCCUAAAACCCAAGCAGAUGCUGUUGGUGUGAACUACUGUGCAGUAAACCAAGAUUUCCCAAGGAACAAUCUCAAUCUGCUGAUGGAGAACUCUGGCAAGCUGAGAGAGCAUGAAUCCAGUGACAGUGGUGCUGAGAGCUAUGAGAGCUCAGAUUCCAUGCUGCAGUCCUGGAACAGCCAGUCCUCCCUGGUGGAUUUGCAGCGUGUGCCAUCCUAUGAGAGCUUUGAGGAUGACUGCAGCCAGUCCCUGUGCCUGAGCAAACCUACCAUGUCCUUCAAAGACUACAUUCAGGAACGCAGUGAUCCUGUGGAGCAAGGGAAACCAGUUAUACCAGCAGCCAUCCUGGCUGGCUUUACUGGCAGUGGACCUAUCCAGCUGUGGCAAUUCCUUCUGGAGCUACUGACUGACAAGUCCUGUCAGUCCUUCAUUAGUUGGACAGGAGAUGGAUGGGAAUUUAAACUUGCUGACCCAGAUGAGGUGGCACGGCGGUGGGGCAGGAGGAAGAACAAGCCCAAGAUGAACUACGAGAAGCUGAGCCGGGGGCUGCGCUAUUACUACGACAAGAACAUCAUCCACAAGACGUCGGGCAAGCGCUACGUGUAUCGCUUCGUCUGCGACCUGCACAACCUGCUGGGCUACACCCCCGAGGAGCUGCACGCCAUGCUGGGGGUGCAGCCCGACACCGAGGACUGAGCCCAGCCUGGGGACAGUGCCCCGGAGCCGCCGUGGGGACAGUGCUCCCGGUGCCACCCUGGGGACAGUGCUCCCGGUGCCACCCUGGGGACAGUGCUCCCGGUGCCACCCUGGGGACAGUGCCCCGUGGGGACAGUGCCCCGGAGCCGCCGUGGGGACAGUGCCCCGUGGGGACAGUGCCCCUGGAGCCGCCAUGGGGACAAGCCACCCUGGAGACAGUGCCCCACUUCCACACUGCCCUGGAAGGAUGGGGUUGGCUUUGAAACCCUUGGAAACCAAAGGUUGGCUGUGAGAAACCAGCAGAACUCUUGGCUGGGAUGUUGUCAAACACCACCGUCCUCAUGCUGUUUAUUUAAAAACUAAUUUAUUUGAAAUGAGCAGUAAGGAGAACUGGUAUUACUUUUGUUUUAAAGCACGUUUUGUUACUGUUGUUGUUAUUGUUACUACUCCAGAAAUGUGCUGCAUAGGUACACAAACACUCUUGUGUCCAAAACCAGAUGUAGCAGCAACUGUUAACAAAAAAAAAAAAACCACCCCACCCUUUAAAAGGAGGGAAGGAAAAUCAUACCAUUUCAAUAUUCAGUUUGUAUAUAUUCUGUGAUUCCUUUGGAAACUCUGAUGUUCCUAUUUAACAGAAACUGUAUAGUGUAAAUUAAACUAAUUGUAUGUGUGUUUUGAAAUAGGAUGAAUGUAAACUUAUCAAAUGUGGGGUAUUUUUUUUUCAUGUUUGUCUAGGAUAUACAACCUUCUGCAAAUAUUUAAUUGGCCUGAGAGACAGCAGAAGUUCUAUGCUCAGUGUGCAUGCAUUUGGGGGGGCAGGGAGGGAGGCCGGGCUCAGGAUUUUGCCAAGACUGAAGCUGGCAAUUCUUUGUGCAUUUUGGCAUUUUUACAGGAAACUAAUGUUGUAUUCUGGGACAUAAAAGGGCCUGUUCGUGGUUUCUUCUGUAACUGAAAAAUGAAAAUAUUAAUAUUGGUAAAAUUACCUUUUUUUCUUUAUAAAUGGCAUAUGUUUUUCAACUUCUAUGCAUGUACUUUUAAGAAAAAUUUAUAUACAAGCCUUAUUUUUUCAGUUCACAUGUCUCUUCCUGCAGUUUAUUCUGUAUGAUUAAAAUACGAAUUCUAUUUUUGGAAAAACUGUGACUCCUUUUCAAAGAUCAGGAGAGUUUUAUGUAGCAGCUAUUUUUACUGCAAAAAAAAAAAAAAAAAAAAAAGGAAAAAAAAAUCACUGGAAAAAUGUACUUUGUAAGAAAGCUUUAUUUUUUAUCUGAGCUUGAUGUACAGUUAAAUGUGUUGUACAGUGUGAGAGGUUUAAAAAUAUGACUUCAUUAAAACCUCUUGAAAAGAAAA